UGCCGUCUAUGGGGUUGCACAGAGUCCGACACGACUGAAGUGACCUAGCAGCAGCAGCAGCAUAGAGACGAGAGCCAAAUGUCUGUGUGUUUUGGAAGAGAUUAAUAAAACUGACAAACCUCUGGUGAGACUGAUCAAGAAAAAAAAAGAGAAAGCCUGAAUAAGCAAAGGCAGGGAUAAAAAGGGAGAAUACAGAGAACUGUAAAUUUUUCUUCUCUGAACAUACACUGACCUUCUUGCUCUCUGCUAUUCUGAGAAUAGCUCACUCCUAAAUUCCUGACUCAACAAUUCUGAGAACAGGAAUGUAACAGUCACGAUGAGCCAGAUCAGAAAGAAGCACAACUCAUUUCUGUAAGAUUGCAAUACCUAAAAAAAAAAAAAAAAAUCACAAUACCUACCAUACAAAACCCACCAAAACUGCAGUUUUCAGUGCUGCUUUUGUUUCUUUGCCCUAUAAGACCUCCUCAUUCCUCAUGUUUGGGGAGAGAUUCCCUUUAAAUCUUUCCCUAUUACAACAGUGUGAAUAAAUUCCCUUGAAGUCUCAGCAGAUUUCCAAAGUUUUGUGUUACAAAUGCUACAGACAUUAAAACAAUAAGAUAUUAUAUCACAGUUUUGUGCCAAUAAAUUAGAAAUUUUAUUUGAACUGAGAAAAUUCCUAGGCGGUAAGAAACAAAACUUACUAAAGGUCUCACAGUUGGGAGGAGUAUGGGAAAGAUUCUGAAGUGAGUUCAGUCCUUAUGGAACUCAUAGGAGGAGUGAGUGGAGAGAGAAGCAAUAGAGAAGGAAGGGAAAACCUUAAUAAACAGUGAGUUUGAAAAAGCUUUCCAUAGGAGUACACUCUAUUUCUAGCUAAUUUGUCUGAAAGCAAAAGCCUGAAAAAUAAUUUCAUCAGGGUUUAUGUACAGAGAUGCUAUGGGUAAAAAGUACUGAAUAUCAGUCAUGAAAUGCAAGGGAAAUUUUCCCUCAUGAGAUUAAAAAAUGAGAAAUGGUCACCUAAGGAUCAACUAGCUGAGAACAGACAGUUGGGACCUGAAGUCUGUCUGCAUCAGGACCUUAAGGUUUCCUAGGGAAUUCCCUGGCCUGGGAAGUCUCUCCAUGCCUCUUCCCCAACCUCAGCUGAGGGCCUUGACUGGAGACAUGCAGAAGGAAGUCAGAAUAUUUAACUCCAUUUUUCUUUCCAUUGAGUGUUCCUGGCAGUUCUUCUCAGGCUGUGAAUAGUAUCAGUUAUGCUCAGGAAGGAGUUUGUGUGAAUCCCACGCAGAGAGGCAACACAGAGUGGUAGCCAAGAGCAGUCUCUCUGCCAUGAAGCUGGGGUUCAAGUAAGGACUCUCACUUAUUCCCAGAUGACUAAGCAAGUAACUAAACCUUCUGUUUUCUUUGCUCAUGUGUCCUCAUCUACCUCUUGUUGGGAUAAUAAUGGUAACAACCUCAGAGGUUGUAAUGAGGGUUGGGGAGGUUAGUGUUAUUAGAGCCCUUAGAAAUGUGCUUGGAAUGAGAAGCAUUUGUAGAAGGGUGUGGGAAGUAAGUCUGACAGUGUGGUGGCCCCUGUCCAAGGAUUCAUACAUCUAGACAGACACUCAGGCAAUGGAAUACAGCCCCAUCUUCAAGCCAAGAAAAUCCCCCAAGGACCACCCCACACAAGAUUUGAGAAGAAAUAUUUUUUUGGAUAUGUUUACUCUGUGGUAUUUGCUUCUAAGCAAGCAAUCCAUUGUUUCUAAGCAAAUACGCUUUUUUUUUUUUUUUUUUCUGGAAAAGCGGUCAACAAGAAGAGCCUCCAGCUCUAGUCCAGUGACCCAGAGUGUUGGGUUGAUCAAGGGCUGCUUCCCACUUGCUUCUCUGGCUAGGCAGCCUGCCCACUCAUGCUGUACACAGUUUUCUCCCGACUGCCUCCCUAUCCCUCUGUUUUCUUGGUAAUAGGCAUGCUGGAGACUACUGAAGGAAGGAUUGGUGAGAGCUAAGCUUCUACUAUCUUAACCAUGGCUGUUUUGGUUAACUGUUCCUGAAGACUUCAGAGAAUAAAAGGAGGCCCUGGAAUGACAGGAGAAGUUCCUCUGAUCUGGGUUAAAGGAGAUAAAGAAGAUGAGAGUAAAAAUCAAUGAAACUGUAACACAACAGAGAGGAUCAAAAGUCAAGUAACAUCAGCUUUUUUGGAUUAUUGCAAUCAAUGCAAAGAAAUAGAGGGAAACAACAGAAUGGGAAAGACUAGAGAUCUCUUCAAGAAAAUUAGAGAUACCAAGGGAACAUUUCAUGCAAAGAUGGGCUCGAUAAAGGACAGAAAUGG